rnacentral:rRNA from 1 species
CCUACGGUAGGCAGCAGUGAGGAAUAUUGGUCAAUGGGCGAGAGCCUGAACCAGCCAAGUCGCGUGAAGGAUGACGGACCUACGGGUUGUAAACUUCUUCUGUCAGGGAGCAAUUGAGUCCACGUGUGGGAUUAGCGAGAGUACCUGAAGAAAAAGCAUCGGCUAACUCCGUCCCAGAAGCCGCGGUAAUACGGAGGAUGCGAGCGUUAUACGGAUUUAUUGGGUUUAAAGGGUGCGUAGGCGGAAUAUCAAGUCAGCGGUAAAAAUUCGGGGCUCAACCCCGUCGUGCCGUUGAAACUGAUGUUCUUGAGUGGGCGAGAAGUAUGCGGAAUGCGUGGUGUAGCGGUGAAAUGCAUAGAUAUCACGCAGAACUCCGAUUGCGAAGGCAGCAUACCGGCGCCCAACUGACGCUGAAGCACGAAAGCGUGGGUAUCGAACAGGAUUAGAUACCCUUGUAGUC